AGAACGUGAGGUUAGAAUGACAGGUUAGAACGUGUCGUAAAAACGCGAGGUUUGAACGUGAGAUUAGAGCGUGAGGUUAGAGAGUGUCGUAAAAACGCGAGGUUUGAACGUGAGGUCAGAACGUGAGGUUAGAGCGUGAGGUUAGAAUGACAGGUUAGAACGUGAGGUCAGAACAAGAGGUUAGAAUGACAGGUUAGAACGUGUCGUAAAAACGCAAGGUUUGAACGUGAGAUUAGAGCGUGAGGUUAGAGCGUGAGGUUAGAAUGACAGGUUAGAACGUGAGGUCAGAACGUGAGGUUAGAAUGACAGGUUAGAACGUGUCGUAAAAACGCGAGGUUUGAACGUGAGAUUAGAGCGUGAGGUUAGAGAGUGUCGUAAAAACGCGAGGUUUGAACGUGAGGUCAGAACGUGAGGUUAGAGCGUGAGGUUAGAAUGACAGGUUAGAACGUGAGGUCAGAACGCGAGGUUAGAAUGACAGGUUAGAACGUGUCGUAAAAACGCGAGGUUUGAACGUGAGGUCAGAACGUGAGGUUAGAGCGUGAGGUUAGAAUGACAGGUUAGAACGUGAGGUCAGAACGCGAGGUUAGAAUGACAGGUUAGAACGUGUCGUAAAAACGCGAGGUUUGAACGUGAGAUUAGAACGUGUCGUAAAAACGCGAGGUUUGAACGACAGGUUAGAACGUGAGGUCAGAGCGUGAGGUUAGAAUGACAGGUUAGAACGUGAGGUCAGAGCGUGAGGUUAGAAUGACAGGUUAGAACGUGUCGUAAAAACGCGAGGUUUGAACGUGAGAUUAGAGCGUGAGGUUAGAGAGUGUCGUAAAAACGCGAGGUUUGAACGUGAGGUCAGAACAAGAGGUUAGAAUGACAGGUUAGAACGUGAGGUCAGAGCGUGAGGUUAGAAUGACAGGUUAGAACGUGAGGUCAGAGCGUGAGGUUAGAAUGACAGGUUAGAACGUGUUGUAAAAACGCGAGGUUUGAACGUGAGAUUAGAGCGUGAGGUUAGAGAGUGUCGUAAAAACGCGAGGUUUGAACGUGAGGUCAGAACAAGAGGUUAGAAUGACAGGUUAGAACGUGAGGUCAGAACAAGAGGUUAGAAUGACAGGUUUGAACGUGAGAUUAGAGCGUGAGGUUAGAACGUGUCGUAAAAACGCGAGGUUUGAACGCGAGGUUUGAACGUGAGGUCAGAACGUGAGGUUAGAGCGUGAGGUUAGAAUGACAGGAUAG